ACCGAUCCAGAUUCUUCGGAUGGAUUUGAGUAGGAGCCGUCCUGUUGGGACCCCAAAGAUGGUGAACUAUGCGUGAAUAGGGUGAAUCCAGAGGAAACUCUGGUGGAGGCUCGCAUCGGUUCUGACGUGCAAAUCGAUCGUCUUAUUUGCUUAUAGGGGCGAAAGACCAAUCGAACCAUCUAGUACCUGGUUACCGCCGAAGUUUCCCUCAGGAUAGCAUUAACGUUUUCUGUUUUAUGAGGUAAAGCGAAUGAUUAUAGGCCUUGGGGGUGAAACAUCCUUAACCUAUUCUCAAACUUUAAAUAUGUAAGAAGCCCUCGUUACUUAACUGAACGUCGGCACUCGAAUGCACCGUUACUAGUGGGCCAUUUUUGGUAAGCACAACUGGAGAUGCGGGAUGAACCGAACGCGAGGUUAAGGUGCCGGAAUGCACGCUCAUCACACACCACAAAGGUGUUGAUUCAUCCACACAGCCGGACGGUGGCCAUGGAAGUCUGAAACCGCUAAGGAGUGUGUAACAACUCACCGGCCGAAUGAAUCAUCCCUGAAAAUGGAUGGCGCUCAUCGUGCUAUCCAUACCUCGCCUC
rnacentral:rRNA from 1 species